AUCUCGGGCAUACUUUUUGGCCCAUUUGGAAGACAAACACCCUGGUCCAGUUCUCCCCCGACACGGAGGGAUACCCGUGGAAGCGCUCCCGACCACCCGAGGUCGGGCAACCUUCCCCAGGUUGGAAGGGACACGAGCGGAUCCGAGCGAAGCGACCGCGCGUCCGCGCCCUCCGUCGCCACCACCAUCCGCUCCGCCGCCACUCCAUCGUCGUCCACAUUGCUGCCAUCCGCUCUGCCGCUGCUCCAUCGUCGUCCUUCCCCGAAGCAGUCGUGAGCGAGACGUGAGGCGACGGUGCCCUCCACCACUGCCACCGUCUCGGAUUUGUCGUCCUUCACCGCCAUCUCUGCCUCAGUUUGCUGUCCUCCACUACCGUCUUCCGCGGCACUAUAGUGGAGGCAACACAUGAAACCAACAUGGAGAAGAAAAAUGAAAUGGCAUUCCACAUAAAGCUUGUGAAAAAGAGUUAAACUCGUAAUUUAUUCUAGUGCAGAAGUUCCUAACCAAGAGAUUUGUAUUCCAUUUCUAUAUUAUAUUGUCUAUCUAUAUGUGUGAAUAAAGGUGACCUUAUAUGAUGUGAUGAUGUAUGAAUUAGCUUCGAUGGAUAUUAUAUGGUAUUCAAAUUAAACUUUACAUGAAUUA